GCAGAGCUUGGGGCUGCCUUGGUCGCACCCACCACCUGCCUGCCCACUGGUCAGCCUUCAGGGAACCUGAGCACCGCCUGGUCUCUUUCCUGUGGCCAGCCCAGAGCUGAAGCGCUGCGGCAUGGCGCGCGCCUGCCUCCAGGCCGUCAAGUACCUCAUGUUCGCCUUCAACCUGCUCUUCUGGCUGGGAGGCUGUGGCGUGCUGGGUGUCGGCAUCUGGCUGGCCGCCACACAGGGGAGCUUCGCCACGCUGUCCUCUUCCUUCCCGUCCCUGUCGGCUGCCAACCUACUCAUCAUCACCGGCGCCUUUGUCAUGGCCAUCGGCUUCGUGGGCUGCCUGGGUGCCAUCAAGGAGAACAAGUGCCUCCUGCUCACUGUGAGUGCCGGGGCCCAAGCGAUGCUCCGGGUGGGACCACGCAGGGUGGGGCUCCGGUGGUCCCCAGGCCUUGGCUGCUGCAGUGACCCCCCA
rnacentral:sRNA from 1 species